UUGAGAGUUUGAUCCUGGCUCAGAACGAACGCUGGCGGCAGGCCUAACACAUGCAAGUCGAGCGCACCUUCGGGUGAGCGGCGGACGGGUUAGUAGCGCGUGGGAACAUACCCUUUUCUACGGAAUAGCCUCGGGAAACUGAGAGUAAUACCGUAUAAGCCCUUCGGGGGAAAGAUUUAUCGGAGAAGGAUCAGCCCGCGUUAGAUUAGAUAGUUGGAGGGGUAAUGGCCUACCAAGUCUACGAUCUAU
rnacentral:rRNA from 13 species